UACGAAGGGGGCUAGCGUUGCUCGGAAUUACUGGGCGUAAAGGGCGCGUAGGCGGACAGUUUAGUCAGAGGUGAAAGCCCAGGGCUCAACCUUGGAAUUGCCUUUGAUACUGACUGUCUUGAGUUCGGGAGAGGUGAGUGGAAUGCCGAGUGUAGAGGUGAAAUUCGUAGAUAUUCGGCGGAACACCAGUGGCGAAGGCGACUCACUGGCCCGAUACUGACGCUGAGGCGCGAAAGCGUGGGGAGCAAACAGG
rnacentral:rRNA from 1 species